UCCGGCUUCCUUCCUUUCACCUUUUUCCAGCUUUCCCCUCUAGAGAUGCUGGGCGCUGGUGUGGACUGGUUUUCGGUGAAAUUCUUCUCGGUCUCACACGAGCCUACCUAGGCCGGUCUCUGGAAUGGCCUGUCAUCGAUCGCGCCCUCUAUCGCUCAGCUACCCAAGUGGAGGCCUCAGGACUGCAGUCUGCAUGAAGAAACAGUUCAGAUUUGACCACGAUCACAUAAGUAGGAGUUAAGGAAUUGGAACCCACUAUGACUGACUCCACGUUAAUACAGUCUUUGUAGCCACUUACACUCAUAUAAUAAUGAGACAUGGAGAGAAGGGGAGCCUGCACAGCCCUGGCAGGCUGAGUCCCCACGCCCAGAUGGCUAAAUAUAAGAAAAAUAUAGCAGUAAAUGCUACCCACAGCUCUAGAAACCUAUUUCCAUGAAUGAUCUUUCUCAUCUUCAGUUUUCCUUAUAUUUCCCUGGGCCUACGGGUCUAAUAAAAAACAUCAAGAUUCAAGUGAAUAAAAUUUAAGGAAUGACACAGAAAUUUCAGAGUUCAAAUUGUUUGCAUGUUAUAAAAAAUGGUAUGUUGAUAUAUAUCAAAUCCUAUCUAGCACCAAUAUUUAGUGAACCUAAAUGCUAUAUCAGUACAUAAAAACAGCUCAACAUAGUAACAAUAUUAAAAUAACAAAAUUUCUCUUAUGCAAAAGAAAAUCACUGAAAGGUAAAGGUUAUUAAUGAGAACAAACA